GCCUAUUGGGCUCUGAGCAAACGUAGGGACACUAAGUAGGGAAUAGGGCUCCAUUUGAGAGUGUGAUGCACUAAUAGUACCUACCUAGGGUCUGCUUACCACAAGUAUUGGGUAGGGAUUAACACCGGUAACUGUCCCGGGAACACUUUACACCCCCCCUCAAAAAAAAUGUAUGACAAGACAUGGGAAAUGACAAUAUUUUCCCCAAUGUGGCACUAAUGCAAUUCCACAGUAUGAGCAGCAGCAGAUUGGCACAUUAUCCCACCAGGUAGAAGCAGAUUGGCACAUUAUCCCAC
ensembl:lncRNA